AUUGAACGCUGGCGGCAUGCCUUACACAUGCAAGUCGAACGGCAGCACGGGUGCUUGCACCUGGUGGCGAGUGGCGAACGGGUGAGUAAUACAUCUGAACAUGUCCCGUAGUGGGGGAUAGCCCGGCGAAAGCCGGAUUAAUACCGCAUACGAUCUACGGAUGAAAGCGGGGGCCCUUCGGGCCUCGCGCUUUCGGGUUGGCCGAUGGCUGAUUAGCUAGUUGGUGGGGUAAAGGCCUACCAAGGCGACGAUCAGUAGCUGGUCUGAGAGGACGACAAGCCACACUGGAACUGAGACACGGCCCAGACUCCUACGGGAGGCAGCAGUGGGGAAUUUUGGACAAUGGGCGAAAGCCUGAUCCAGCAAUGCCGCGUGUGUGAAGAAGGCCUUCGGGUUGUAAAGCUCUUUUGUCCGGAAAGAAAUCCUUGGCCCUAAUACAGUCGGGUGAUGACGGUACCGAAAGAAUAAGCACCGGCUAACUACGUG
rnacentral:rRNA from 1 species